rnacentral:lncRNA from 10 species
AUGGGGAUGAGACUUCAAUUGCUCCGAGACCGACGCAUCUCCUCACGUGGGCCAGGCCUUCACAGAGCCAAAGCGGAUCCACAGCAGCAAAAACGAUUGACAACCGGCCUCAUGACCCAGGCAGAGACGCAGAAAGAGGCUCAACAAAGACAGGCCGCCAUGCGAAAAACCGCUUUGUGGCACACAGGGCACCUCCAGCCAAAAACACACACGCACACGGGCAUGCACACACAAACCCACAGAGAGAGGGAAAGAAACACACAGAGACUGAGAGACAGAGAGAGAAGAGAGAAUGGGAGACACACACACAGACACACACACACACUCACACACACACACAC